rnacentral:lncRNA from 1 species
AAGAAAAAUUUGUUCAGCAUAUGAGUGGUAGAUACGACCAAAGCUACAUCUCUCAGCAAGUCAGUGCUCCAGCUUAAGCAACAAGAAAAAAAAAAGCUCUAUAUAGAACUGUGACAAACAUAGUUACUGCAUGGAACUAAGAAAAUGAUGUUUGUAGCGUGUAGAAGCUAGAAAAGAAAGAUGAAAUCAAUUUAAACUUUUUCAAAACCAAUAGCUAGACUGAGACUGUUCAGUCCUGAAUAUAUAUGUGUACAUAUGUGUAUGUACACAUAUAUACAAACAUUGGGUUCUCAUUUUGUUUUGGAAAGGUGAAGCUGGUCACCCCCAGAGUUAAUGGGAAAAUAUGUGGGAUUAGAAAUUGUGCCCCAGUAUUCUGGGACUCCUGCCCAAGCCACAGUGAUGGCUUUUCCCCUCUUAUGAUUGCUGCUGUACUGAAAUUUACCAUCAGUCAGCCAUAGAACAGAGCAACUCCCAAGGUUCCAGCUACUACAGUGACUCAUUUGGUGUGUCAUCAUUCCCUGGAGAAUGGAGGUACCACAUCAAAUCAUGGCCCAUCCUAAAGUCUAGUGCCACUGAAAUUUACAGCCACAGAACUGAAUUAAUCAAGAGGAACAACAACAACAAGAGUUCUCUUCCAAAAUGAUAGCUUUUUUGUAGCUCUGAAAUGAGAGGAACCCAAUCCAGAAGAAUCCACAGAAGGAGGAAAAGCCAGCAGAAAGGCAGCAGAUUAGACACAAAAUUGUAAUUGUUAGUACGCAACUGAUAAAUACAAAAGGGCGAAGAGAAUGUCAAUCCAGAAUGAUGCAAAUCCCUUCAUUAUUACUCUCGUUAAAGGACUGCUAAUGAUCAGCAAAUAGCCAAAGGCAGAGGAGUCAAUCCAAGAUCUCUUCGGUUCUUUCCUAAUCAGAUUUACACAAUGCUGGGCAUGGAUAAUUUAGGGAGACCUGAAACUCAGAGCUCAAAUCUAUCGCCUUCCAGAUGCUGAGAAGAGAAACAUCUGAUGUCAGCUUCCUCUCUGUUCCUAACAUCUUCAGUUCCCCAAACAGACUUUGUUAACAGUUAUCAUACAGCUAUGAUUUUAAUGCCGUGAGAUAUUAUAUUAAAAUGUAAUUUUAUGCUUUAACUUUGCUCUGCCCAGUUUAAGAGUACCAAGUAUGUAUCAGGCACUCUGUACUGUGUUGGAUGUUAGAUGUUUCUCCCAUAAAUUUGGAUAUGACCCCUUCCUUUGAGAUACUUUUAGUUUAGUCUACCAGUAACCCAGUCACAAUGGCAACUUUAUAAGCAGCAAUUAAACCAACUAAUUUCUUUCUGAAAACUCAAGAAUCUUGCUUUGUGGUAAUGUAUCUGUCAAAAACAUUUGAUUGAGUAGAAAUAGACCAUGACUGUGGAAAAAUGCAGUGAAAAACGUAUGUACAAAUAAAUAUGUUCUCAUGAUUCAUUAAUAUGAUCAUAUAAAUGUAGACCCUAAUCAUAUUAUCUUUGAAACUUUUGUGGUAAAAGGGUUGCUAAGUCAACUUAACAGUAAAAUCAGUUGCAGAGUGAUCAUUGGUAAACUUAAGAAAAACUUCCAAUAAUGGCAUUCCUUUGUGAAGUAACUAUUUUUAUGACAAUUGUUCAUAUCAAAUUGACUAAAAUAGAUUUGGAUCCAUACUGGAAAUACCCUUCAUUUAGAAAAUGUCUAAAAUGAUAAAUGUGUAAUAGCUCUGAAAUAAUCUACAUUUCAAAUUUUUCAUUUUUUAAAAUAAAUAAUCUCUUUUAAUUCCCAAAUAGCGAAUUCUUCCACACUGCCCUGUUUUAUUAAACAAUAGUGGUCAAAAAUUAUUAUGCAUAAUUAAAUAAUUCCAAAAAAACUUGCUCUAAAAAAUGUACUGCUCACCAACUGUAUUACAGAUUUAAGAAUGAUGAGCAUGUUAAGGUUUCUUGGAGUUGCUCUCAUUUUGUGGAACGGUAAUGUAGUAUUCUUUGUAUUACAAAAAAAUAAAUAAAAAAUCUCUUGAGAGGAGGGUAGCUGGUGAUAAAUGCUCUGA